rnacentral:rRNA from 1 species
GUGAGGAAUCUUGCGCAAUGGGGGAAACCCUGACGCAGCGACGCCGCGUGGAGGAUGAAGGCCUUCGGGUCGUAAACUCCUGUCAAGUGGGACGAAUGCGGGAGGGAUGAAUAAGCCUUUCCGUUGACGGUACCGCUGGAGGAAGCCCCGGCUAACUCCGUGCCAGCAGCCGCGGUAAUACGGAGGGGGCCAGCGUUGUUCGGAAUUAUUGGGCGUAAAGGGCGCGUAGGUGGCCUGGUAAGUCAGUUGUGAAAUCCCUCGGCUCAACCGAGGAAUUGCGUCUGAUACUGCCGGGCUCGAGUCCCGGAGAGGGUAGCGGAAUUCCCAGUGUAGCGGUGAAAUGCGUAGAUAUUGGGAGGAACACCAGUGGCGAAGGCGGCUACCUGGACGGGUACUGACGCUGAGGCGCGAAAGCGUGGGGAGCAAACAGGAUUAGAUACCCUAGUAGUCC